rnacentral:lncRNA from 1 species
UAAGAAGUCUUGCUCAAAUUCAUUCUUUUUCAGUGAAACAACUAGAUAUCCAGUGGCAGAUUCAGAGGGGGUCGUAGAGGGUGUACGCCCCCCUCUGUAAUUUUUGAUAGAAAAAAAUACAUUUCAAUAUUGUAUAUCUUUUUAACUAUACUAAAUUUGCAGUUUUGUGAUAUGUGCAUGUAGUUUAAACAAUGUCGUCAAUAGUGUUAGAAAGAAGCUAUCAAAAAAUGAUUUAGAACCUUAUACUACACAUACGGAGGUACAGGUAUGAUACCAUGACGGGUGAACAUAUGAUAUAACUGUGAAAUAGCCAUUGUUAUUGGCACGUUAUUUUAUGGAUCGUUGAUUUUAUUACCUUUGGAUUAUUGGCACGUGCCAUCGAACUUAAUCUUUAUAGACCAAAUAUUAAAGCAUACAUACUUUACUUUUACAGUUUAGAGGGAGAAGACGAAGAAAAAUUAUUUAUAAUAGUG